rnacentral:lncRNA from 8 species
AGUGAUAUUUUAUUAAAGUAAUGUCAAUAAAUCAUGGCUAAUAAGCAUUAAUGGGCAGUCACUACCAUCAUGGGACUUGUAUUAAUUGUUUUAUUCUGUGUUAUUACAACAUUCAACCCAUAUAAUGCAUAGUGCAUUUCAUGUUUGAAAAAAUAAUCGAAAUCAUAAUCGAAAAACGUGAUGUAUUAAUAAUCGAACUGGAUCCGAACCGACAUCAAAAAUCAGUAAUUGCUCAGUGCUAGUGGACAGUAUAGUUUUUAGUAGCAAGUAGGAAUUACAUCUCUGGUUAAAUAGCGUUUUUCAUCAGUAUUGUUUCAGAUCAAAAAUGUUUGGGCGAGUUAUUAUUGUUAAUUAAGAACAAAUACAGACUAUCAUCAUAAAGCAGUCAACACUUCAAGAAGUGUUAAAAUGCAGUGGUCAGACAACCACUUCAGUGAGUCGCCUGAAGAUGGCGGUCAAACCCCACACAUGAUUCUGCUAGGCGCCUGUUGGGGGAGCGUCUGGUGUUGGAAUAGUUAACGUGUGGCCGUCUUGGCUUUAGUGACUUUCUUUCUUUAAAAAAAAAAAAAAAAAGAACCGACCGAGCAGCAAGAGGGGUGGGAUGCAGAACUGAACAGAACAUACUGAAGGGGAAAAUAGAGGGAACGCUAAUGCUACAAAAUAUGGAGUCUUGCCCGAUGUACAUGACCGCAGCGAUAGUUCUCUGUCUUUUGGGAUGCAAUGUGUGGGAAGCGGUAACCAAAACCCUGCAAGAUGACAACGCUCUAAACGCUAAUGCUAGCUAGCAGAGAAGUUGAAGGCGCGGAGAUGCCCUGAUGACAUCGAGCUGCCUGCCCUUGGACAUGCUGACAUGACCACCACCUCCGACCAGCACCUCUGCUGACCAUCUAGCAGAGCUUCUAAAUCCUCUCAUGCCCGCGGCGGCUCAUCUGCGGGAGGCUUGAGGAAGCACUCCAACUUGAUCAAGCUGAUCUAGCUACUUUUGUAGCCUAAAUUUAUUUUUACAUUACAUUUUGUUGUUUAUUUUGCGUGUGUAAAAUAUUACUGUCCUCAGAUGUUUACUUCGUAGAUUUUGUGUAUUACAAAUGGUUUUGUUGGAAAAAAGCUAUAUAUCCAUUGUUUAGCUGGAUUACCAUUUUU